CUGCAGUUCUCUGUUGAGAUUCAUUUUCUCCUUAAAUAUACACCGUUUGCUUCACGUGAGUUUUCUGUGGGACCUAAAGUUUGACAACAAGCAAAGGAGGAACAACUAACAUUCCAGUCCAUGGGGUCACGAAGAGUCGGACACGACUGAGGACUAAGCACCGCACCACCCUGGGUCUUCAUUGCGGCUCAGGCUUUUCUCUAGUUGCAGCAAGCGGGGGUUACUCGCUCAUUGCUGUGGACUGGCUUCUCGCUGUAGUGGCUUCUCUUGCUGUGGAGCAUGGGAUUUGGGGCACACGGGCUUCAGUAGUUUCGGCUCCCAGGCUCAAGAGCACAGGCUCAGUAAUUGUGGCACACUGGCUUAGUUGCUCCAAGGCAUGUGGGAUCUUCCCAGAUCAGGGAUUGAACCGUGUCUCCUGCAUUGGCAGGAGGAUUCUUUACCACUGAGCCACCGGGGAAGCCCUGAACUGGACUUUUUGAGGGGAUCUCAAUGACCACAACAGGGUUUCCCAUCAGCACGGUUGGGGAACUUGUGCCUCUUCUUGUCCACAUUUAUUCAUUCAACCAACAUAUAAGCCCCACGGAGGCAGCACAGAGCUGUACACUGGGAAUAUGGGCGUCAACAUUCCCACCCAGCGUGUGGCCAGCCAGACUGCACACCCAGCAUGAGUGUGCGUUGCACACGUGGAGGUCUCAUUUCUGUAUCUGUGGUCAAGGCAGCCACUCUAACCAGCAGGCUGUCACCUGUCACCUCCUUCUGGGAACAGAGUGUUCCCUCCCUCCCCAGCCCUCUUGACUGGCCUCUCAUAGAGAGCUGGAUUUUGAUCUGAGCUGCCUGGCACAGAGCAGGCAGAGCCCGGAGAUGUUGUUUCAUCUGAGCCCCACUUUCCAGAGUGGGGCCAAGACUGCAUUAGAUCCUUUGUGUCCAGGGCAGGGGUGGCUGGCCUGAGGAUGCCGUGUCCUUGUAUAGGGGAUUUGUGCCCCAUAUAAUGAUUAAUCCUGAUGGCCCAGUCACCAGUCACUCAUUGACUGACAAGGCCAAAGUCUGUGGCCAAAAGAGCUGAGGCCGCUUUGGGCUUUUCUCAGAAAUCACUUCUUCCCCUGCAGCUCUGUUCGUUAUGUGCCCCAGCCCAAUGCCCUUCCUGCUGGCCUCAGGAACAGGCCUGAAUGGGAGGCUGUGAACUCACAGCUGGUGGUCCCAGCCUCUAGCUUCUGGGUUCCAGACCUGAAGCUCAGAGAUUGGCUUCAGACUUAGGGUCCUGGCCUCCACGGUCUGGACAUGGAACUUGUCUCCAGUUUCUGGGGCCCCCACUCUGGUUCUGGCCUCCAAAUGGGCUCCGGGAUCUGAGUUCUGGUCUCCGGCUCCAGUUUUAAGCAUCAGAUGUCAAGCUCUGGGCUCUGGUUCUUGGCACUGGACUUCAGGUUCUGAGUCCUCAUUUCCAAUUUCAGAUCCAGAUGCCAGGUUCAGCUUUCCACUCUUGGCUCCCUGUUCUGGGUCGGAGCUUCAGUUCCCAGAUCCAGGCUUUGUGCUCCAGAUCCCAAGUUCUAGUUCCACCUUCCAAGCUUCAGGUUUGGGGUCUAGGUUCUGUGUUCCUCAGCGCCUCGGCAACGAGGCAGGAAGAUGGUGGCCUCCUCCUCGGCUUGUGGGGUUACCUUGACCCAUCCACCUUGGUUGGCUGCUUCCUUCUGUCAGCUGGCACUUCAGGCCAGCCUGGAGGUCGGAUGCUCAGUGGGGCUUCUCCUUGGCUUUCUGUCCCUCUACACACAAGCCAGUUCUCUGGAGACAGGAGCUGAGACGGUCACAGAGCACUCCUCACUUAGUCCCUGCAGGAGUCACUGGACACGUACACAUGUCCGUGUCCCUUCUUCUUGGACCCUCAGGACCAUGGUGGACAUGAACGGCACCCCCUGCAGUUGUGCAGGGGUAGGGGCCUGUGCCCAGAUCUGGCUGCAUUUGAUUCAGUGUAACCAACCAUGUGUGUUCUUCCCUAUCCGGGUCUUCGUUUCCUUGUGGAAGCUGAACUCCAGCCUUUAAUCCCCCAGAAGCCCGAGUCACCUGACC
ensembl:lncRNA